rnacentral:rRNA from 1 species
UGUUGCAAGGUUAAGCGGAAAAAGCGGAGCCGUAGCGAAAGCGAGUCUGAAUAGGGCGCAUAAGUAACAGGUCGUAGACCCGAAACCAGGUGAUCUACCCAUGUCCAGGAUGAAGGUAAGGUAAUACUUACUGGAGGUCCGAACCCACGCACGUUGAAAAGUGCGGGGAUGAGGUGUGGGUAGCGGAGAAAUUCCAAUCGAACUUGGAGAUAGCUGGUUCUCUCCGAAAUAGCUUUAGGGCUAGCCUCGAGGUAAAGAGUCAUGGAGGUAGAGCACUGUUUGGACUAGGGGCCCUUCUCGGGUUACCGAAUUCAGAUAAACUCCGAAUGCCAUGUACUUAUACUCGGGAGUCAGACUGCGAGUGAUAAGAUCCGUAGUCGAAAGGGAAACAGCCCAGACCACCAGUUAAGGUCCCCAAAUAUAUGUUAAGUGGAAAAGGAUGUGGGGUUGCUUAGACAACCAGGAUGUUGGCUUAGAAGCAGCCACCAUUGAAAGAGUGCGUAAUAGCUCACUGGUCGAGUGACCCCGCGCCGAAAAUGUACCGGGGCUAAACAUAUUACCGAAACUGUGGAUGAACCUCUUUAGAGGUUCGUGGUAGGAGAGCGUUCUAAGGGCGGUGAAGUCAGACCGGAAGGACUGGUGGAGCGCUUAGAAGUGAGAAUGCCGGUAUGAGUAGCGAAAGAAGGGUGAGAAUCCCUUCCACCGAAUAUCUAAGGUUUCCUGAGGAAGGCUCGUCCGCUC